rnacentral:rRNA from 1 species
GCGGUGAAAUGCGCAGAUAUCAGGAGGAACACCGAUGGCGAAGGCAGGUCUCUGGGCAUUAACUGACGCUGAGGAGCGAAAGCAUGGGGAGCGAACAGGAUUAGAUACCCUGGUAGUCCAUGCCGUAAACGUUGGGCACUAGGUGUGGGGGACAUUCCACGUUUUCCGCGCCGUAGCUAACGCAUUAAGUGCCCCGCCUGGGGAGUACGGCCGCAAGGCUAAAACUCAAAGGAAUUGACGGGGGCCCGCACAAGCGGCGGAGCAUGCGGAUUAAUUCGAUGCAACGCGAAGAACCUUACCAAGGCUUGACAUGAACCGGUAAUGCCUGGAAACAGGUGCCCCACUUUGUGGUCGGUUUACAGGUGGUGCAUGGUUGUCGUCAGCUCGUGUCGUGAGAUGUUGGGUUAAGUCCCGCAACGAGCGCAACCCUCGUUCUAUGUUGCCAGCACGUGAUGGUGGGGACUCAUAGGAGACUGCCGGGGUCAACUCGGAGGAAGGUGGGGACGACGUCAAAUCAUCAUGCCCCUUAUGUCUUGGGCUUCACGCAUGCUACAAUGGCCGGUACAAAGGGUUGCGAUACUGUGAGGUGGAGCUAAUCCCAAAAAGCCGGUCUCAGUUCGGAUUGGGGUCUGCAACUCGACCCCAUGAAGUCGGAGUCGCUAGUAAUCGCAGAUCAGCAACGCUGCGGUGAAUACGUUCCCGGGCCUUGUACACACCGCCCGUCAAGUCACGAAAGUUGGUAACACC